GCCGGGGUGGCGGAAUGGCAGACGCACAGGACUUAAAAUCCUGCGGGGGCAACCCCGUACGAGUUCGAGUCUCGUCCUCGGCA
rnacentral:tRNA from 2 species